UGUGUGGCCACGUGGGACUCCCGGAGGGGCCUCCUCACAGAGCUCAGAUCAGAACAGGCCACUCCUGGGGACAGUGAAGGAGCGUCCUCACAGCAGAGAGGAUAACGGCUCUCCUGGGUGCACCCUGAGGAGAUGGGAAGCAAUGCCCGGGCUUCAGAGGCAGACGCGGCCAAAGCAUCAGCCAUCACCCUCCCCAGGGCUGAGCGCAUCCUCCAGCCAGGCCAGCCUGGCCCUUGGGCCCUGCCCUCCCAGCAGCAGAAGGGUCUACUGCUCUUCCUGAAGGGGCAGCCUCAGGUCCUAGGGGUGAGUGUAAGCACAGUGAUUGCAGAGUGAGGCCUCGGGGACAGGUUGCUCCUGCAGCACUACGUGAGCAAAUGCUUUAUAUCAAUGACGGCGUCCUGUGCUGGAAAAGGAAGAGGCUCAAUGUGUAGAUGGGCAUGGCCCUGGGGGUGUGCCAAUACUGGGAUCUGAGAGGUGGGAAGGAUUCGUGGGCAAUGACCUUGGAGAAGUUCCCGCUGCUGAGAAACUGCACCUCCUCACAGAACCUGUCUUCCUUCCCAGGUGGCCCAGAUCCUGACUGGGCUGAUGAUUCUAUGCCUGGGGACGAUGACUUAUUUUAUGCCACAACCCUAUCGAGUCGGGGACCUUUUGUUCAUUAAUAUAGGCUAUCAUGUCUGGGGAUCCUGCUUUUUCUUUACAUCUGGAGUGCUGUCCAUUGUUGCUGGCAGGAAAAUGACCAAACGUCUGAUCCAAGGCAGCCUUGGAAUGAAUACUGUGAGUGCCACCAUUGCAGGGAUUGGCUCAUCUGUACUGAUUUUUGAUGAAAUAAACAUAUUCACACCAAUAAAAUGGGUCCCCAGAAAAUUAUUUUUUUUGGAGCAUUGGUGACUGGAGUUCUCACCCUCUCUCUGCUUGAAGCCUGUAUUGCUUCAUCUCUGUCCAUAUUUGGGUGCAGGGUGGCUUGCUCUGUCAACCAGGUCGUGGUCUACUCACCAAACAAUGACCAAGUGCUCCCAGAGGUCUCUGCAGAGCACAUCUAUGACGAAGUGGCAUUUUGGUAGCUCCAAGUUGCUGUGAAAUUCCUGGUUGGCUCAUUCUGCUUUCAUUGAGUGCUGCUCUUUCACUGAGUUUGAAGUCAUUUCUAUUGCCAAGAAACUCUCAAUUGGGAUCUGCCACAAUAUAGCAUAUUUUUUUCUUUUUCUAAAUAAUGCCCUUAAAUAAAGGCAGUGUGAUAUUCAGAAUAAUAGUCCUACUAAGAUGUUUACACCCUGAUCCUCAGUCUUUGAAUAGGUCACAUGGCAAAUGUUAUUCAAUGGUUGAAGAAAGAGUUAAGAUGGUUAAUCUUCUACCUUUGAAAGAGUGCAGUCAUCCUGCAUUAUCUCUGGGACCCAAUAAAAUCACAUGAGUCUUUAAAAGCAGAGACUCUCUCCAGGUUGUGGUCCUAGGGGAUAAUGUGACAAUGGGAAAAUAGUCAAAGACCAAUCAGAAGACCCAACCCACCUCUGCUGGCUUGGAAGAAGCCAGGAGCCAAGAACUGUGGUCCACUUCCAGGAGCUGGGAAGGUGAGGAUUGGUUUCUCCCUUAGAGCCUUCCAGAAGGAACACGGUUCUUCCAGCCUCGCUGACUUUUCAAACAAACUGUUUAACAAGUUCUAUUGGGUAUGUUGAAGGUGCACAGUGUGAUGUUUUAAAAAUACCUCUGUGUAGUAGAUGUUACUAUAGUCAAGCAAAUUAACCUAUCCAUCACCUUGUGUAGUUAUCCUUUCUGUUGCAAUAAAGAUUAAAAGAAAAACUGUCAAAACAACUAUAACUACCAUAAUUGGUUAAGGGAUACACAGAAUAAAAAGAUGUAAAUUGUGACACCUUUCUUAGUCCAGAGAAACCCUUGUCAGGUAUAUGAUCUAUGGAACUCUAUGAUAAUAAAUUAGUG